rnacentral:rRNA from 1 species
UACGUAGGGGGCAAGCGUUGUCCGGAAUUAUUGGGCGUAAAGAGCGCGUAGGCGGUCCGAUAAGUCGGCUGUGAAAGUCAAGGGCUCAACCCUUGAAAGCCGGCCGAUACUGUCGGACUAGAGUCCGGAAGAGGCGAGUGGAAUUCCCGGUGUAGCGGUGAAAAUGCGCAGAUAUCGGGAGGAACACCAAUGGCGAAGGCAGCUCGCUGGGACGGUACUGACGCUGGAGACGCGAAAGCGUGGGGAGCAAACAGG